UGGAAAACGUGAAUAGUUUGUAAAGUCUGUAAACAAGUUAUUUCAACGAAAAAUAAUGUUUCAUAAUAAUAUGAAGGCAUCUGAAUGAGACUAACUCAAUCUCUUUCCAAAAAGUUAAAUCGAAAAGUAUUGGAAUCCUUAUUGAUUCAAGUCUACAAUCUUAUCUGAAUCUUGAUUACUGUUUAGAUAAUUUUCUCGUUACAAACAAAACCACAUGAGUUAAAUGAUGAAUACUUGUAAAAAUAAUUAAAAUAUAAAAGCGGAUCGAGAUUUAUUAUAGACACAUAAUCUUGAUCACCGAAAUCGCCACGUGCCACCACACGUGUGUUCCUAAUUCACAACGUGCCAUUGCUGCAGUGCUGUCGCUGGACCACUGCGCGCCACCGCAGACCAUCAUGAAUCGACUGAAAUUCACCAUGAAAUGUUUCACGCACAUGGAUCUAGCGCGUAGAUGGAGAAAUUGUGCCGGAAGGAACCAGAAAUAUGCAAAAUUGCGCGACUAACUAUGGCAGAUCUCCUUCCUCUUCGGCUGUAAAUCGUCGCAUGAUUCCUCCGGGUUUCCAAUCGCACAGGUUGCAGAGUCAUCUCGACUCUUUUACUUGCUGCGAGGAGAGUCGCGCACCGUCACAGACCACCUUGCGCAGGUCGGUGGCAGUUGCAACUCCCAUUUACAGGUCCCUUUCUCUCUACUUUCUUAUUUCUUCUUUUUUUCCUUUAAUAGACGGAAGGACAGAGAGCCCUGCACGCCUCUUCUUCC
rnacentral:lncRNA from 1 species